AUACAUUGAUAAUGGCUGAACGUCAGAAGAGACAAAGAUUGCAUUUGCAUAUCUCCACCCAUCCUGUGUCCUCCUGACCAAAGAAUCUACGGCUGCCAACGUAGAAGCCCUUAGCGAUCAUCACCCCACAGAUUUGUCCUCAAAACCCUUGGCUCCAAACAGGAGGGACUCGUCCAGGCAGUGUUGGAAGUAAUGACAUCUGUAUUGGAGAACACUUGCGUGCAAAGUUGGACUUCUUUCUCAGAGCUCUGCCUUUGUCUUUGUUCCCCAAAAGACCCAGGAAAAUCCGCCAUGACCUCUGAUGAACUAAAGCUGGCCGUGCUCAGAUCCCUGGAUGUGCUAUUGCACUCUGCCUACGAUGUUCUUCCACCAAUGUUUGCUUCUGAUGAGGACAUGGAUGUUCCUGCAGAGAAACAGGAGCUUUCUCUUCAUAUCCAGAUUGCAAAAGACGUGAUGGAGAGAUGCAUCCACCUGCUCUCUGACCCCAACCUGGGAAUCCGACUCAAGGUUGUAAAAUCUCUUCUGUUGAUGUAUUAUAGCUUCGGCAUCGCUGCAGGCCUGUUUCCUUUGAGAAGAGCACGUCUGAAGUCAAACGUGUUUGUGGAUUUUUAG
rnacentral:lncRNA from 1 species